AGAGUUUGAUCCUGGCUCAGGACGAACGCUGGCGGCACGCUUAACACAUGCAAGUCGAACGAGAGAAGAGGAGCUUGCUUUUCUGAUCUAGUGGCGGACGGGUGAGUAACACGUGAGCAAUCUGCCUUUCAGAGGGGGAUACCGAUUGGAAACGAUCGUUAAUACCGCAUAACAUAAUUGAACCGCAUGAUUUGAUUAUCAAAGAUUUAUCGCUGAAAGAUGAGCUCGCGUCUGAUUAGCUAGUUGGUAAGGUAACGGCUUACCAAGGCGACGAUCAGUAGCCGGACUGAGAGGUUGAUCGGCCACAUUGGGACUGAGACACGGCCCAGACUCCUACGGGAGGCAGCAGUGGGGAAUAUUGCACAAUGGAGGAAACUCUGAUGCAGCGAUGCCGCGUGAGGGAAGAAGGUUUUAGGAUUGUAAACCUCUGUCUUCAGGGACGAAAAAAGACGGUACCUGAGGAGGAAGCUCCGGCUAACUACGUGCCAGCAGCCGCGGUAAUACGUAGGGAGCGAGCGUUGUCCGGAAUUACUGGGUGUAAAGGGAGCGUAGGCGGGAUCGCAAGUCAGAUGUGAAAACUAUGGGCUUAACCCAUAAACUGCAUUUGAAACUGUGGUUCUUGUGUGAAGUAGAGGUAAGCGGAAUUCCUAGUGUAGCGGUGAAAUGCGUAGAUAUUAGGAGGAACAUCAGUGGCGAAGGCGGCUUACUGGGCUUUAACUGACGCUGAGGCUCGAAAGCGUGGGGAGCAAACAGGAUUAGAUACCCUGGUAGUCCACGCCGUAAACGAUGAUUACUAGGUGUGGGGGGACUGACCCCUUCCGUGCCGCAGCAAACGCAAUAAGUAAUCCACCUGGGGAGUACGACCGCAAGGUUGAAACUCAAAGGAAUUGACGGGGGCCCACACAAGCAGUGGAGUAUGUGGAUUAAUUCGAAGCAACGCGAAGAACCUUACCAGGUCUUGACAUCGUAUGCAUAGCUCAGAGAUGAGUGAAAUCUCUUCGGAGACAUAUAGACAGGUGGUGCAUGGUUGUCGUCAGCUCGUGUCGUGAGAUGUUGGGUUAAGUCCCGCAACGAGCGCAACCCUUACUGUUAGUUGCUACGCAAGAGCACUCUAGCAGGACUGCCGUUGACAAAACGGAGGAAGGUGGGGAUGACGUCAAAUCAUCAUGCCCCUUAUGACCUGGGCCUCACACGUACUACAAUGGCUGUCAACAGAGGGAAGCAAAGCCGCGAGGUGGAGCGAACCCCUAAAAGCAGUCUUAGUUCGGAUUGUAGGCUGCAACCCGCCUACAUGAAGUCGGAAUUGCUAGUAAUCGCAGAUCAGCAUGCUGCGGUGAAUACGUUCCCGGGCCUUGUACACACCGCCCGUCAC
rnacentral:rRNA from 1 species